GGAAAAUGUCUUUUUAUGACCAGUUUCAUGUUUGUGGAGUAGCCUUGUCAACAUGGGUUUAUGGAUUCCUGUACAGCUCCUCAUUUUUUUUUUUAUUAUAUCCAAAGACAAACACUACUGCUUCUGCUGCUACUACUAUUAAUACUACUACUACUAACAACUGUACUUAUCAUCCACCCGCUACCUACCAUUCACUGUCAUAAGUUCUUGUUAUCUUACUCAAGUGUGACAAAGUACCUCUUCAUUCUUUUUUUACAGGAGAAGAAACUGAGCAUGAUGCCCAGGAACACAGAACUAGCCUUCCUGGUAAUCAGAAGAAAAAUGAAUUAUAGGUCAGUAGUUUUAACUCCUCCCUCUCUAAUUGGACCAGAAGAAAGAGUACUGGACUACGGAGUGACACAGGAGAAGUUUCUAAGGUUCUGGUAAUAUUCUUGAUCUAAGUGAUAGUUAUAUUGGUUUGUUCAAUAGGUAAAAAUCCAUUAAACAACAAGUUUGUUCACUUUU